UUUGGAUCGUCGAGUAGGGAGAUCGGCGAGGUGUGGGAGAUGGUGUUGGAGGAACGAGAAUUGAUCAUUCUUUUUCUAGAUAUCAUUCUAGAUAUCACGUCGAUCACUGCUAAUGAUCGCGUUUGCGAAUGCGAGAAUGUUUUUUACAUCUGAAAAAAGUUUCUACUUAUCGAAAUAUACUGUUCCUUUCCUAAGAAACAACGUGUCUGUUGUUUCUUAUUCUGUCAUGUGACUUCCAUAUAAUCAAAUAUGAGCCAGCAAUUAAACAGAAGAGAAAUGCGUUUGUUUAUCAAGAAGCGGUAUAAAAAAAGACAUCAGAUAACAAUUUUACAAACGGACAGUAACAGUUUCUAUAUAUGUAGAUACGAAUACAAGUGGGAAUGAAAAAGCUAUGACGUAAGGAAAGGAAAGACCAGAGAGAACAAAGUAGUCUUGAAUGGAUCAAUGAAGAGAAAUAUCAAAGAAAAGAGUAUUGAGUACGAUUCUGAGUGGACCGACAGAAAGUAACGACUGAGUAAAGAGUAUAAAGUUGAGUUUGGAGAAGACCAGAGAAAGAGUAUGAUAUUUAGUAGACCAGAUAUAGAACAAAGGAUUAAGUCAAAUUCAUUUUUCUAAAUUUCAGAAAUGCAUUUCAAGGUAAUUGAAGCCAAGGAAUUGGUAUUCAAAGAUACUAAUGGAGAGAGUAAUCCAUUUUGCGUUUUUAUCUCGAAUCAGCUCCUAUUAGGAAAUAUAACACAGCUGUACAAAAUCCAAGGGAAAGAAAUUUUCAAUUAUUAUAUACUACUACAUCAAGAAGUUUGAGCACAUAGCAAGUAAUACUAGACCGAAGACUAAAUCGAACGAAGAUGCUAUCAGAUAUCAAAUUAAGGUAAUUCAGUUAAUUGGAGCACAUUUACGAAGAUCUACAGAUUGUUACAAGGUGUUCAUGAAGAAGGCAAGAACGUUGUAUAUUAUAUAUGAAAAAAAGCAAAAAAUAAUUUACAUGUGCAUGUAUGCUGUGAAAGAUGUGUUUACUGAGGUUGAAACGCAUAGAAGUCGAUAAUAAUAAUGAUUCUGAGUUGACGCUUGUUCAAAUUCCAUCUCACAUUUCAACGAUAUGCUAUACUGGGCCAAAUUGUUUGUGCUGAAGGACAAUUGGAAUUUGAAAAAAUACAGAAUUAUAACGACUGGUAGUUUAAAGCUGGUGUAGCACACUUUGAAUGGAUAUAGCAGUAUACAAGGCUUUAAAGAACUUUUUCAGUUAGUAAUGUAGAAAAAAAGAUCACGUUCAUUCUACUCUAAUUUGCACCGAAGACUUCAUGCACUCAUUAAAUUAUACAAUCUUGAUACAAAUGAGACAUGGAAUAUGCAGAUUUUUUAGAAGAUUGAAUAAUAUCCAGAUACUCACUUUUCAUGUAGGUAAGCUUCAAUAAUUUAUAAGUUUGAUAAUUUUCUAAUAAUUUAGACGAUCUUUAAUGCAUACGGAAAGCAAGAAACAAAUAUGGAAGCAAUUGUAGAUUCGCUUAAACUUUUCAUAGCUCGUUAAGUGUAAUAAUAAUUUUUAUUUAAAAUACCGAUAUGUUAAAUUUUAUAUUAGAAGUCGUUGCCUUUAUUAAAUAUAAUUUUAAUUUAUAUUGUCUAUACUGAACAAUUUUAAUGUAGCAAUUGUUGGCAUAUUGUAAUGUAAACGAAAGGUUUGAAUCUGCACGAGUGAUUGGUUGUAAUUAUUUAGAAGAAGAAUAUUGAAAAGAAAAUUAAUAGAUAGAAUAUCUAGAAAUAAAUAAAAUAAAAAAUACAAAUUAUCUCUCUCUUCCUCUCUCUCUCUCUCCCUUUCGCUUUCUCUCCCCAUCUCUCACUCUGUCUCUGUCUCUCUCUUAUCUCUGUAAUUAACAUAAAUACAAAAAUCAAGAAAGAUUGAAUAUAUGAGUUACUAACACAAAGAUGUAAGAAGUGAAUGUGUGAAUUAAAAAUGUGAAGAAAUUGUAGGUGUUUCAAUAAGAUAAAGAAAUAUUGAGUGAGUAAAUGAUUUGGAGAGAUAGAAAGAUAGUGAGUGAGCGAGGUGGAAAAAUUAGGAACGUUUCAUAGAGAUGAAGAAGUAGUGAGUUAGUAUAUGAGUGAGUAGGAUAGAGAAAAAGUAGUGA